AAACCGUUCAGGGGUAAACCUGAGAAACCCAAAAGAUCGAAUGGGGAGAUUCACCGUCAGCGCGGAAGACUCGGCGCGUGUUCGCGAUGUCCGGCUUCGGUCGCGACACGCGUCUCGCGCUCGACGUUCGGCCGCGUCGGCGUGCACUUCUCCCCUAGUAGGACGUCGCGACCCGUUGGGUGUCGGCCUACGGCACGGGUGGAAGUCCGGGACGUUGCGCCUCGCGGCGCGCGUCCCGGGCCCCCGAACGCCCGGCCGGCUGCUCGACGGUACGCCCACGGUAUCGGGCCGCAGUCGUUCGCGAGUGCGUCCAGCCCGUCGCAAGCGCGGUCAGUGUCUACCCGGUGGUAACGGACCCGGUGCCGUCCCCGGGCCUGACUCGCUGUUGGUCGACGGUGUCCUCGGACAGGCCAAAAACUGUAUACCGGUCGGCGACGCUAUUGCUUUGGGUACUUUCAGGA
rnacentral:rRNA from 1 species